rnacentral:rRNA from 1 species
GGGCCCGCACAAGCGGUGGAGCAUGUGGUUUAAUUCGAUGCAACGCGAAGAACCUUACCUACUCUUGACAUCCAGAGAAGCCGGAAGAGAUUCUGGUGUGCCUUCGGGAACUCUGAGACAGGUGCUGCAUGGCUGUCGUCAGCUCGUGUUGUGAAAUGUUGGGUUAAGUCCCGCAACGAGCGCAACCCUUAUCCUUGUUUGCCAGCACGUAAUGGUGGGAACUCCAGGGAGACUGCCGGUGAUAAACCGGAGGAAGGUGGGGACGACGUCAAGUCAUCAUGGCCCUUACGAGUAGGGCUACACACGUGCUACAAUGGCAUAUACAGAGGGCAGCGAGACCGCGAGGUGGAGCGAAUCCCAUAAAGUAUGUCGUAGUCCGGAUCGGAGUCUGCAACUCGACUCCGUGAAGUCGGAAUCGCUAGUAA